CCACAGCCCAAAAUCCUCUCACCACCCGAUGCCCACAUAAAGCAGCGUGUCAUGACAUUUAGCGCAUGUUAGUGAUCCGACUGAUGAAAAAUAAAGAUUCCCCUGGUUUCUCCCUACACAUAAAGAGUCCUGUUACCAGCUGACACUAUAGUCACCUGAACAACUUUAGCUUAAUGAAGCAGUUUUGGUGUAUAGAACAAGCCCCUGCAGCCUCACUGCUCAAUCCUCUGCCAUUUAGGAG